rnacentral:rRNA from 1 species
AGAGUUUGAUCCUGGCUCAGAACGAACGCUGGCGGCAGGCUUAACACAUGCAAGUCGAGCGGGCGCUUUCGGGCGUCAGCGGCGGACGGGUUAGUAACGCGUGGGAACGUGCCCUUUGCUCUGGAAUAGCCCUGGGAAACUGGGGGUAAUACCGGAUGUGCCCUGAGGGGGAAAGAUUUAUCGGCAAGGGAUCGGCCCGCGUCUGAUUAGGUAGUUGGUGAGGUAACGGCUCACCAAGGCAUUGACGGGUAGCUGGUCUGAGAGGACGACCAGCCACACUGGAACUGAGACACGGUCCAGACACCUACGGGUGGCAGCAGUCGAGAAUUUUUCACAAUGGGGGCAACCCUGAUGGAGCGACGCCGCGUGGAGGAUGAAGGCUUUCGGGUUGUAAACUCCUGUCAUUUGGGAACAAGGUGCAUCGAUUAACUGUCGAUGCAUUGAUAGUACCAGAAGAGGAAGAGACGGCUAACUCUGUGCCAGCAGCCGCGGUAAUACAGAGGUCUCAAGCGUUGUUCGGAUUCAUUGGGCGUAAAGGGUGCGUAGGUGGCGGGGUAAGUCAGGUGUGAAAUUUCGGAGCUUAACUCCGAAACUGCAUUUGAUACUGCCUUGCUUGAGGACUGGAGAGGAGAUUGGAAUUCACGGUGUAGCAGUGAAAUGCGUAGAUAUCGUGAGGAAGACCAGUGGCGAAGGCGGAUCUCUGGACAGUUCCUGACACUGAGGCACGAAGGCUAGGGGAGCAAACGGGAUUAGAUACCCCCGUAGUCC